AAUCAUAGCUCAGGAUGAACGCUAGCGACAGGCUUAACACAUGCAAGUCGAGGGGCAUCAUGAGGUAGCAAUACCUUGAUGGCGACCGGCGCACGGGUGAGUAACGCGUAUGCAACCUGCCCGAUACCGGGGUAUAGCCCAUGGAAACGUGGAUUAACACCCCAUAGUACUUUUAUCCUGCAUGGGAUGUGAGUUAAAUGUUCAAGGUAUCGGAUGGGCAUGCGUCCUAUUAGUUAG
rnacentral:rRNA from 1 species